CCUUAUUCUCCUGUUAAAGGCAAAGACCUGUGAACAAAAGAUGCUGCUUCUCUCACUAUACCUUCUCCUGAUGAUGACAAGGAAAUCAGAAAGGGUAGGGGUGGUAUUGUUGGCUCCUUGGUGUCUUUGCCACCCAUGAUUCUUUGGUGAACCAAGCUUAGACUCUGUUUUAACCUCCUCACCUACAAUUAAGUGCCAGGAAAUUGAAAAGAACUGUUUCAUAGCUGAGUAUCUCUUCACAAAGGUUGCAGAUUGCCUGAUUAGAAGCAGAAGGACUUCCACAUCAUUGACCUAUUCCUGUAUGGAAACCCUUCACUAGAUGACCACUAGAAUAGGACAGCAGAAGGAGACUAUGACAAAUACAAUCACUGGUCUGCGACAUCCAGACUUGACAGUACUUGUUUGGUAUUAUGGACCAGCAUGCACUCAGCUAGUCACAUCACAACCACCACUAAACCCUCAUUAGGGACCAGUGCAGCACACAAGAAGGUGAAACAGAAAGUCACGAUGGGUUUAGCCAUGGGAAGGGAAGAGGCUACCUACUUCCUCCUGGCAUCACCCUGGUAGGGGCAUUGUAAACA